GGAGAGAUGGCUCAGUGGUUAAGAGCACUGACUCCUCUUCCAGAGGUCCUGAGUUCGAUUCCCAGUGACCACA
rnacentral:tRNA from 1 species